UGCCGAAGUGGCGAAAUUGGUAGACGCAGUUGAUUCAAAAUUAACCGCCUUUAGGUAUGCCGGUUCGAGUCCGGCCUUCGGCAA
rnacentral:tRNA from 3 species